UUGCCUUUUAUUAGAGGCUGGUAUGAAUGGUUAGACGGAAGAGUUGACUGUUUCUUCAAAAUUUUAAGAAUUUAAAUUCUAGGUUAAAAUGCCUAGAUAUUAUUGAAAGACGAGAAGACCCUAGCGAGCUUUAUUUUUAACGCUAGAAAUAAGUAGAUGUUUAAACUUUUGUUGGGGCGACUGAGGAGAUGGAGCUUCCUUUAUAAAAUGAAAAAUAAUGGUUAAGGAUCCAGUGUAAUUACUGAAAAACAGGGGAGCUACCGUAGGGAUAACAGCGUAAUCCUUUUAGAGAGUUCUUAUCGAAAAAAGUGUUUGCGACCUCGAUGUUGGACUAGGAUAUCCUAAAGGUGUAGAGGCUUUUAAGGGUUGGUCUGUUCGACCAAUAAAAUCCUACAUGAUCUGAGUUCAGACCGGA
rnacentral:rRNA from 1 species